GUGUUGUGUUCCUGCCGGUGAGUAAGGUUGCCAGAUCUGCCGAGGGUACAGAGUGUUAGGGUCGGCAACGCGCAUGUAACACCUCUGGAGUUGCAGGCGUUCAUAGGCUACGAUGACUGCUUACCAUCAGGCGGGCCGUAUGCUUGUUUGCCACCGAUGUGGUAUUAAAAAAAAUAGUCUUUAU